UCUUCUUCCUACCCACUCAAUGCUUUAUAAUGCAAUUAGAGAGCUCCUGGAGGCACUAAUUGGAUCAUAAAGUGCCUUCUUCAUGUUCCAGCUGAGGAGAGAGGAAAAAAGGAUCACUUCACGUCCUCUUUGCACCUGCUAAGAUACACCUUCUCAACUUCUCCUUGAAGAUUGUCAACAAAUUGUUGCUUCUCAUGAGAUUUUUGUUCCAUGAAAUUCUCUAUGGAAUGGCAAUGCAGAGGCCCCAAUAUUAAGAGUUUUUUUCAUGAAGACUGAGAAGCAUCUGAAGUUUGUCCUUUCCUGAAGUUGGAAGGAGUCUCUCUGGUGGAUAAAAGGCAUUCCUUGUCACUCUAUAAAUUGCAACUAUUGUUUAGCUGAAGUCUAUUACUUUGAUUUUGGAUAAUAGAGGGCAGGCAAGCAACUGAUGAUUAAAGGAGCUAGACAUGAUUAGAGAAAAAAAAAAUCAAUAAAUGUAUAAACAAAAAGUGGUU
rnacentral:lncRNA from 1 species